CCUACGGGAGGCAGCAGUGAGGAAUAUUGGUCAAUGGACGAGAGUCUGAACCAGCCAAGUAGCGUGAAGGAUGACUGCCCUAUGGGUUGUAAACUUCUUUUAUCUGGGAAUAAAAUGUUCCACGUGUGGGAUUUUGUAUGUACCAUAUGACUAAGGAUCGGCUAACUCCGUGCCCGCAGCCGCGGUAAUACGGAGGCUCCGAGCGUUAUCCGGAUUUAUUGGGUUUAAAGGGAGCGUAGGUGGAUUGUUAAGUCAGUUGUGAAAGUUUGCGGCUCAACCGUAAAAUUGCAGUUGAAACUGGCAGUCGUGAGUACAGUAGAGGUGGGCGGAAUGCGUGGUGUAGCGGUGAAAUGCUUAGAUAUCACGAAGAACUCCGAGUGCGAAGGCAGCUCACUGGACUGCAACUGACACUGAGGCUCGAAAGUGUGGGUAUCAAACAGGAUUAGAUACCCCAGUAGUC
rnacentral:rRNA from 1 species